CCUACGGGUGGCAGCAGUGGGGAAUAUUGGACAAUGGGCGAAAGCCUGAUCCAGCCAUGCCGCGUGUGUGAAGAAGGCCUUCGGGUUGUAAAGCACUUUCAGUGGGGAAGAAAGCCUUGGGGCUAAUACCCUCGAGGAAGGACAUCACCCACAGAAGAAGCACCGGCUAACUCCGUGCCAGCAGCCGCGGUAAUACGGAGGGUGCGAGCGUUAAUCGGAAUUACUGGGCGUAAAGCGCGCGUAGGCGGUCUGAUAAGCCGGUUGUGAAAGCCCCGGGCUCAACCUGGGAACGGCAUCCGGAACUGUCAGGAUAGAGUGCAGGAGAGGAAAGUAGAAUUCCCGGUGUAGCGGUGAAAUGCGUAGAGAUCGGGAGGAAUACCAGUGGCGAAGGCGGCCUUCUGGACUGACACUGACGCUGAGGUGCGAAAGCGUGGGUAGCAAGCAGGAUUAGAUACCCCAGUAGUC
rnacentral:rRNA from 1 species